UAGGGAAUCUUGCGCAAUGGGCGAAAGCCUGACGCAGCCAUGCCGCGUGAAUGAUGAAGGUCUUAGGAUUGUAAAAUUCUUUCACCGGGGAAGAUAAUGACGGUACCCGGAGAAGAAGCCCCGGCUAACUUCGUGCCAGCAGCCGCGGUAAUACGAAGGGGGCUAGCGUUGCUCGGAAUUACUGGGCGUAAAGGGCGCGUAGGCGGACAGUUUAGUCAGAGGUGAAAGCCCAGGGCUCAACCUUGGAAUUGCCUUUGAUACUGGCUGUCUUGAGUUCGGGAGAGGUGAGUGGAAUGCCGAGUGUAGAGGUGAAAUUCGUAGAUAUUCGGCGGAACACCAGUGGCGAAGGCGACUCACUGGCCCGAUACUGACGCUGAGGCGCGAAAGCGUGGGGAGCAAACAG
rnacentral:rRNA from 1 species